UACGGAGGGUGCGAGCGUUGUCCGGAAUCAUUGGGCGUAAAGGGCGCGUAGGUGGCCCGCUAAGCGUGCGGUGAAAGCUCGGGGCUCAACCCCGAGUCGGCCGUGCGAACUGGUGGGCUUGAGCACUGUAGAGGCAGGCGGAAUUCCGGGUGUAGCGGUGGAAUGCGUAGAGAUCCGGAAGAACACCGGUGGCGAAGGGCG
rnacentral:rRNA from 1 species